UACGUAGGGUGCGAGCGUUGUCCGGAAUUAUUGGGCGUAAAGGGCUCGUAGGCGGUUUGUCGCGUCGGGAGUGAAAUCCACUGGCUUAACUGGUGGCUUGCUUUCGAUACGGGCAGACUGGAGGUAUGCAGGGGAGAACGGAAUUCCUGGUGUAGCGGUGAAAUGCGCAGAUAUCAGAGGAACACCGGUGGCGAAGGCGGUUCUCUGGGCAUGUCCUGACGCUGAGGAGCGAAAGUGUGGGGAGCGAACAGG
rnacentral:rRNA from 1 species